CAGGUGCUGCAUGGCUGUCGUCAGCUCGUGUUGUGAAAUGUUGGGUUAAGUCCCGCAACGAGCGCAACCCUUAUCCUUGUUUGCCAGCGAGUAAUGUCGGGAACUCCAGGGAGACUGCCGGUGAUAAACCGGAGGAAGGUGGGGACGACGUCAAGUCAUCAUGGCCCUUACGAGUAGGGCUACACACGUGCUACAAUGGCGCAUACAGAGGGCGGCCAACUUGCGAAAGUGAGCGAAUCCCAAAAAGUGCGUCGUAGUCCGGAUUGGAGUCUGCAACUCGACUCCAUGAAGUCGGAAUCGCUAGUAAUCGUGGAUCAGAAUGCCACGGUGAAUACGUUCCCGGGCCUUGUACACACCGCCCGUCACACCAUGGGAGUGGGCUGCAAAAGAAGUGGGUAGUUUAACCUUCGGGAGGACGCUCACCACUUUGUGGUUCAUGACUGGGGUGAAGUCGUAACAAGGUAGCGCUAGGGGAACCUGGCGCUGGAUCACCUCCU
rnacentral:rRNA from 1 species